AGUGGAUGGGGAGCAACCUAUGUUGUGCGUGUGUAAAGGUAGUGCCAAGAAAAGCGAUGAUCAUGUUGAAAAUCAAUUCCCGGUACCCGAAACCGACACAGGUGGGCAAGUAGAGAAUACUAAGGGGCGCGAGGUAACUCUCUCCAAGGAACUCGGCAAAAUGACCCCGUAACUUAGGGAGAAGGGGUGCCACCGAGAGGUGGUCGCAGUGAAGAGGCCCAGGCGACUGUUUAGCAAAAACAUAGGUCUCUGCAAACUCGAAAGAGGAGGUAUAGGGGCUGACGCCUGCCCAGUGCCGGAAGGUUAAAGAAGUUGGUCAGUUUUAGGAUGAAGCUAGCGACUGAAGCCCCGGUGAACGGCGGCCGUAACUAUAACGGUCCUAAGGUAGCGAAAUUCCUUGUCGGGUAAGUUCCGACCCGCACGAAAGGCGUAACGAUCUGGGCGCUGUCUCGGAGAGAGGCUCGUCGAAAUAGGAUUGUCUGUGAAGAUACGGACUACCUGCAUUUGGACAGAAAGACCCUAUGAAGCUUUACUAUAGCUUGGAAUUGUGUUCGGGCUUCCUGUGCGCAGGAUAGGUGGGAGGCGUAGAAGGUAUUCUUGUGGGGAUACUGGAGCCAACGGUGAGAUACCACUCUCAGGAGGCUAGAAUUCUAACUUAAUUAAGGACAGUUUCAGGUGGGUAGUUUGACUGGGGCGGUCGCCUCCAAAAAGGUAACGGAGGCGUACAAAGGUUCCCUCAGACUGGUUGGAAAUCAGUCGAAGAGUGCAAAGGCAGAAGGGAGCUUGACUGCGAGAAGUACAGUUCGAGCAGGGUGGAAACACGGUCUUAGUGAUCCGACGGUGCUGUGUGGAAGGGCCGUCGCUCAACGGAUAAAAGUUACUCUAGGAUAACAGGCUGAUCUCCCCCAAGAGUUCACAUCGACGGGGAGGUUUGGCACCUCGAUGUCGGCUCAUCGCAACCUGGGGCGGAAGUACGUCCCAAGGGUUGGGCUGUUCGCCCAUUAAAGCGGUACGUGAGCUGGGUUCAGAACGUCGUGAGACAGUUCGGUCCAUAUCCGAUGUAGGCGUGAGAAUAUUGAGAGGAGCCUUCCUUAGUACGAGAGGACCGGGAAGGACGCACCGCUGGUGUACCUGUUAUGAUGCCAAUUGUAAACGCAGGGUAGCCAAGUGCGGAGAGGAUAACCGCUGAAAGCAUCUAAGUGGGAAGCCCACAUCAAGAUGAGUAUUCUGGUGUAAGGUCACGGGAAGACGACCCGUAAAUAGGCACGAGGUGGAAGUGCAGAGAUGUAUGAAGCCGAAGUGUACUAAUAGACCGUCGGCUUGAUC
rnacentral:rRNA from 1 species